AUUGAACGCUGGCGGCAGGCCUAACACAUGCAAGUCGAGCGGAUGAAGGGAGCUUGCUCCUGGAUUCAGCGGCGGACGGGUGAGUAAUGCCUAGGAAUCUGCCUGGUAGUGGGGGAUAACGUCCGGAAACGGGCGCUAAUACCACAUACGUCCUGAGGGAGAAAGUGGGGGAUCUUCGGACCUCACGCUAUCAGAUGAGCCUAGGUCGGAUUAGCUAGUUGGUGGGGUAAAGGCCUACCAAGGCGACGAUCCGUAACUGGUCUGAGAGGAUGAUCAGUCACACUGGAACUGAGACACGGUCCAGACUCCUACGGGAGGCAGCAGUGGGGAAUAUUGGAAAAUGGGCGAAAGCCUGAUCCAGCCAUGCCGCGUGUGUGAAGAAGGUCUUCGGAUUGUAAAGCACUUUAAGUUGGGAGGAAGGGCAGUAAGUUAAUACCUUGCUGUUUUGACGUUACCAACAGAAUAAGCACCGGCUAACUUCGUG
rnacentral:rRNA from 1 species